GAGUUUGAUCCUGGCUCAGAUUGAACGCUGGCGGCAUGCCUUACACAUGCAAGUCGAACGGCAGCACGGGAGCUUGCUCCUGGUGGCGAGUGGCGAACGGGUGAGUAAUGCAUCGGAACGUAUCCUGGAGUGGGGGAUAACGUAGCGAAAGUUACGCUAAUACCGCAUAUUCUGUGAGCAGGAAAGCGGGGACCUUCGGGCCUCGCGCUCUUGGAGCGGCCGAUGUCGGAUUAGCUAGUUGGUGAGGUAAAGGCUCACCAAGGCGACGAUCCGUAGCAGGUCUGAGAGGAUGAUCUGCCACACUGGAACUGAGACACGGUCCAGACUCCUACGGGAGGCAGCAGUGGGAAUUUUGGAC
rnacentral:rRNA from 1 species